CUGCGGGCGUCUUACACAUGCAAGUCGAACGAUGAAGCCCUUCGGGGUGGAUUAGUGGCGAACGGGUGAGUAACACGUGGGCAAUCUGCCCUUCACUCUGGGACAAGCCCUGGAAACGGGGUCUAAUACCGGAUAAUACUCCUGCCUGCAUGGGCGGGGGUUGAAAGCUCCGGCGGUGAAGGAUGAGCCCGCGGCCUAUCAGCUUGUUGGUGGGGUAAUGGCCCACCAAGGCGACAACCAGAAAAAGGGG
rnacentral:rRNA from 1 species